rnacentral:rRNA from 1 species
AGCAGCCGCGGUAAUUCCAGCUCCAAUAGCGUAUAUUAAAGUUGUUGCAGUUAAAAAGCUCGUAGUUGAAUUUCGGGAUCGAAUUGUUGGUCGUGCUUCGGUACGCACUGGCAUUAUUGGUUCCUACCUUCUGAAGAACUGCGAUGUCAUUAAUUUGGUGUCGUGGGGAAUCAGGACUGUUACUUUGAAAAAAUUAGAGUGUUUAAAGCAGGCUUACGCUUGAAUACAUUAGCAUGGAAUAAUGAAAUAGGACGUUUGAUUCUAUUUUGUUGGUUUCUAGGAUCGACGUAAUGAUUAAUAGGGAUAGUUGGGGGCAUUAGUAUUCAAUUGUCAGAGGUGAAAUUCUUGGAUUUAUUGAAGACUAACUACUGCGAAAGCAUUUGCCAAGGAUGUUUUCAUUAAUCAAGAACGAAAGUUAGGGGAUCGAAGACGAUCAGAUACCGUCGUAGUCUUAACCAUAAACUAUGCCGACUAGGGAUCGGAUGAUGUUAAUUUUUUAAUGACUC